rnacentral:lncRNA from 1 species
UGCACCAGAGUAUCGGAGUCCUGCAAUAAAUCAGGACUGAUUUGCACUGUUUGUUGUCUCACCAACAGUCCCUUGGCCACUGAGGUGUGCAGAGGUGUGCUGUGCAGACAGAAGGCCUGGGGAGGAAGAGAAAGCAGCAAAGAGGUACAAAAAUCUUUCAGCUGCCAACAAUACAGAAGAAGUCUUCACUGUGGAAGAAGACUGACAGGGAAGGGCAACAAAACAACCUGGAAGGAGGGUUGUGAAUGCAGCGAGCAACCUGCCUUGCAACACUGCCACCAAAAUUAUUCAGUCUUCAGGGAGUGGGGAACCAUUUCUCUGCUUUGCAACAGCAGAUUGAUGCUUUCUAACAAAAACACCUCUAUACGCAGACAUACACACACACAAAGCUGUUGAUAGGAGGUGAUACAACUAAGAUUGCGAAAAUCACCUCCUAGCUUUACAUAUGUUGUGAUAACAAAUUACAUUUACAUAAUGAAGUGUACUGGCAGUCAAGCCCAUGCUAAGUGGGUGUAAGCAGGUAGCAUGUCUCAGCCAUAACUCAGAAGGCUGUCUUUGACACACGGGGGAGUUGCAUGUACCACACGUUCUGUUUGUUGUUUGUUUGUUUGUUUUGUUUAUUUUUCUGGCAUCUCUCUACUGAGAAGAGAGAAGAUUCCCUCUCCAUAUUGUUAACAGCAAGUUCCUAAUUACUGUAGAACAAGAGCUGAGCAAACCAGAAUUUGCACCUGAGCAAGAGGUGCUGUGUAUUUUUUUUUUCUUGUAUAUGCAUAAGAUCAGCACACCAGACAAACAAUCCACAGAGAACAAUACUCAUACCACAGCCCAGUUCUCUAAAUUGCCCUUUUUCUGUUGGCUUAAAGCUUCGGAUCAGGAAACACCCUCUAUUUGGACGGUAUUUGAAAUCUUACUUUAGAUUGCUUAAACCAAUUUUUGGCCUCUGUGCCCAUCUAGAUUUUUUUUUUUUUCCUGUCUUCUUUUUAUCUUUGAACUUGUUAAUCACAGAAUCACGGAAUUUCUAGGUUGGAAGAAACCUCAAGAUCAUCGAGUCCAACCUCUGACCUAACGCUAACAGUCCCCACUAAACCAUAUCCCUAAGCUCUACAUCUAAACGUCUUUUG